rnacentral:rRNA from 1 species
AUGGCCAGGAUGGAUGGCUCCCACCGCCGGCGGCUGCACGCGGACGAGGACCGGCUCGGUGCCCUCCCCGACGAUCUCCUCCUUGAUAUCCUGCGCCGCCUGGACACACGCACCGCGCUCGGCGCCGCGGCGCUCUCCAGGCGCUGGGCCGGCCUGGCCCGCGAGGUCCCCGUCCUGGACCUCAAGGUCACCGACAAACUGCCGCCGCGCUAUCACCGGUGCUUCCGCCUCCGCGACGACGCUAGGGAUUCGAAAAUCAGCUCGACCUUGUCUGACAGGUGGCAUCUAGAGGCUAUCGCCGCCCGUUACGAGCGCCGCGCCAUGCGAUCCAUGGUCCGCUCCGUCAAGAGCCUCCUGGCCAGCCAAGCUCGCCGGGGCGUGGAGAGGCUGUCGCUCGAGGUCUUCGCCUACAGCACCUCGUCCUCCAUCAACCGCCUGGUCGUGGACGCCGUCGAUUCCUGGGGCGUCCGGGAUCUAGAGUUUGUUGCCACGCCGACAGGGCCGAUCGCGUAUCCGGAGCCGCCGGCCUACAGCUUCCCUCUUGGCCUCAUCAGCAGGAAGCCCGGCCAGUCCCGACUGCGAAGCCUCAAGCCUGCCAACUGCUUUCCCCCGCCGCUCCGGGGAUUCAACGCGCUCACCAUGCUCGUCUUGCGAGACUUGCCGGCUCCCACGCCGCCGGCCGCAUACGAGGCAGUGGUCGCCGACUGCCCGCAGCUGCAAGUGCUACACCUCCUGUCAUGCAAGCUCAAGAUAAGAACCGGCAGGGUGGUCCUGGACGCGCCUGGAUCGGAAAUCAGGGAGCUUGUAGUCGACGGCGAGCACAUGGUGGUCGAGAUCCGGUCUCUCCCGAAGCCUGCACGGUUGCGUGCUGCUUUGCUCCCCCGCCGCCGUCCCGUGCCUUGCGCGCGUGAGCCUCGCCUGCUCGGUUGGCCGACUGGAAGGGGACAGUUUGGCUGCCCUAAACCGUUUCCAUCGAGACUGCUUGAUUCUGGUGCUCGUGCUCUUCUUCCGGUGCGCUAUCACUGUGAAGGAUCUCGUCUUCCGGUUCACUGGGCCAGAGAUGUGGAUCGUGCCGACGACUCCCUUCUCUGGAAUAAUGUCGUGCCUGAGAAGGCUGCUCGUCGCCGAUGUGCCUUCCUCAUGGGACGCCUCAUGGCCACGCCUGCUCAUCGAGGCAGCGCCGUUACUUGA